GUCUCAGGUGUCAGGGAUCUAUAUUUAUCUUGUGUUUGGCAUGUGCCUGAAGUGUUAGAAUGCUCAGGAUAUCAAUGGCUUUCAGAUGUUAGGACAACCUUGUAGAUAAAUGAAUGCUGGAGAGCCUGGGACUCCUCUUUGAGCUCUCAGCUGCUGUGCUGUAGAGAUCAUGUGUUUACUUUCUGCCUCUCCUCCCACAGUCUCUCUGAAGCUGGUCUUGAGGUCCUACGACUGGGCAAGCACGCUCUUCUAGAAGGUGGUGAGCAAAAUUCUUCUUGUUUGGGAGCAUGGCUAUAAAUAUCGU
rnacentral:lncRNA from 1 species